AACGAACGCUGGCGGCAGGCUUAACACAUGCAAGUCAAACGCCGCGCAAGGGGAGUGGCAGACGGGUGAGUAACGCGUGGGAAUCUACCGUACCCUACGGAAUAACGCAUGGAAACGUGUGCUAAUACCGUAUACGCCCUUAGGGGGAAAGAUUUAUCGGGGUAUGAUGAGCCCGCGUUGGAUUAGCUAGUUGGUGGGGU
rnacentral:rRNA from 1 species